UAGAAGAGUAUACUGAACUGGUGCU
rnacentral:sRNA from 1 species